CCGGGGAUAACAGGCUGAUUCCUCCCAAGAGUCCAUAUCGACGGAGGAGUUUGGCACCUCGAUGUCGGCUCAUCACAUCCUGGGGCUGUAGCCGGUCCCAAGGGUAUGGCUGUUCGCCAUUUAAAGUGGUACGCGAGCUGGGUUCAGAACGUCGUGAGACAGUUCGGUCCCUAUCUGCCGUGGGCGCCUGAGAUUUGAGAGGAGCUGCUCCUAGUACGAGAGGACCGGAGUGGACGAUCCUCUGGUGUUCCGGUUGUCACGCCAGUGGCAUUGCCGGGUAGCUAUGAUCGGACGGGAUAACCGCUGAAAGCAUCUAAGCGGGAAGCCCCCCUCAAGAUGAGAUCUCACCGGGACUUCGAGUCCCCUGAAGGGCCGUUGAAGACUACGACGUUGAUAGGCUGGAUGUGGAAGCGCAGCAAUGUGUGAAGCUAACCAGUACUAAUUGCCCGUGAGGCUUGACCAUAUAACACCAAAGCAGUUGG
rnacentral:rRNA from 1 species